UCGGCAUGCGGUCCAAUUAGUUAGUUGGCUAGGUAACGGCUCGCCAAGGCUAUGAUUGGUAAGGGAUCUGAGAGGUCAAUCCCCCACACUGGCACUGAGAUACGGGCCAGACUCCUACGGGAGGCAGCAGUAGGGAAUAUUGGGCAAUGGACGCAAGUCUGACCCAGCCAUGCCGCGUGCAGGAAGAAGGCGUUAUGCGUUGUAAACUGCUUUUAUACAGGAAGAAACGACUCU
rnacentral:rRNA from 1 species